rnacentral:tRNA from 1 species
GCAGAUAUAGCUUAAUGGAUAAAGCCCCAGCUUACGAAUCUGGUGAAUUUGAGUUCGAGUCUCAAUAUCUGCUCCA